UCCCUGGUGGUCCAUUGGUUAAGACUCUGUACUCCCAACACAGAGGGCCGGGGUUCAAUCCUUGGUCAGGGAU
rnacentral:tRNA from 1 species